AGUCCACAUCGACGGGGAGGUUUGGCACCUCGAUGUCGGCUCAUCACAUCCUGGGGCUGUAGUAGGUCCCAAGGGUUGGGCUGUUCGCCCAUUAAAGUGGUACGCGAGCUGGGUUCAGAACGUCGUGAGACAGUUCGGUCCCUAUCCGUCGCAGGCGGAGGAAAUUUGAGAAGACCUGUCCUUAGUACGAGAGGACCGGGAUGGACGUACCUCUGGUGUACCAGUUGU
rnacentral:rRNA from 1 species